CACCAGGUUGAUUCUGCCUGACGUAGACGCUAUACUCUAAGAUUAACCCAUGCAUGUUUAUUGAAUAUAAAGAAAAGACGAACAGCUCAGUAACUCUUAUUUGAUUUGAUGUAUUAGGACUCUAACUAUGUUAAAUUAUAGGUAACACAAUAAUACAAUAAGAAUAAGAUCUAUCAGUUAGUUGUUAAGGUAAUGGCUUAACAAGACUAUGACGGAUAACGGUAUUACUUUGUAAUAUUCCGGAGAAGGAGCCUGAGAGAUUGCUACUAAGUCUAAGGAUUGCAGCAGGGGCGAAACUUGACCA
rnacentral:rRNA from 1 species